rnacentral:rRNA from 1 species
GGUAAGUUCGGGCUAGCGUGCGGGGUAAAACGAAGGGGGCAAGGGUUAGUCGGAAUUACUGGGCGUAAAGCGUGCGUAGGUGGUUGUUUAAGUCUGUCGUGAAAGGCCUGGGCUCAACCUGGGAACUGCGAUGGAAACUGGGCGACUAGAGUGUGGUAGAGGGUAGCGGAAUUCCUGGUGUAGCAGUGAAAUGCGUAGAUAUCAGGAGGAACAUCCAUGGCGAAGGCAGCUACCUGGGCCAACACUGACACUGAGGCACGAAAGCGUGGGGAGCAAACAGGAUUAGAUACCCGUGUAGUC